rnacentral:rRNA from 1 species
GAUGAACGCUGGCGGCGUGCUUAACACAUGCAAGUCGAACGGAAAGGCUCCUGCUUGCAGGGGUACUCGAGUGGCGAACGGGUGAGUAACACGUGGGUGAUCUGCCCUGCACUUCGGGAUAAGCCUGGGAAACUGGGUCUAAUACCGGAUAGGACCACAUUUUGGAUGGUGUGGUGGAAAGUUUUUCGGUGUGGGAUGAGCUCGCGGCCUAUCAGCUUGUUGGUGGGGUAAUGGCCUACCAAGGCGUCGACGGGUAGCCGGCCUGAGAGGGUGUACGGCCACAUUGGGACUGAGAUACGGCCCAGACUCCUACGGGAGGAAGCAGUGGGGAAUAUUGCACAAUGGGCGCAAGCCUGAUGCAGCGACGCCGCGUGGGGGAUGACGGCCUUCGGGUUGUAAACUCCUUUCGCUAGGGACGAAGCGUUUUUGUGACGGUACCUGGAGAAGAAGCACCGGCUAACUACGUG